rnacentral:rRNA from 1 species
GAUGAACGUUGGCGGCGUGCCUAAUACAUGCGAGUCGAGCGAACGGACGAGAAGCUUGCUUCUCUGAUGUUAGCGGCGGACGGGUGAGUAACACGUGGAUAACCUACCUAUAAGACUGGGAUAACUUCGGGAAACCGGAGCUAAUACCGGAUAAUAUUUUGAACCGCAUGGUUCAAAAGUGAAAGACGGUCUUGCUGUCACUUAUAGAUGGAUCCGCGCUGCAUUAGCUAGUUGGUAAGGUAACGGCUUACCAAGGCAACGAUGCAUAGCCGACCUGAGAGGGUGAUCGGCCACACUGGAACUGAGACACGGUCCAGACUCCUACGGGAGGCAGCAGUAGGGAAUCUUCCGCAAUGGGCGAAAGCCUGACGGAGCAACGCCGCGUGAGUGAUGAAGGUCUUCGGAUCGUAAAACUCUGUUAUUAGGGAAGAACAUAUGUGUAAGUAACUGUGCACAUCUUGACGGUACCUAAUCAGAAAGCCACGGCUAACUACGUG